rnacentral:rRNA from 1 species
UGAGGAAUAUUGGUCAAUGGACGAGAGUCUGAACCAGCCAAGUAGCGUGCAGGAUGACGGCCUUAUGGGUUGUUAACUGCUUUUGUUUGGGAAUAAUCGACCUUACGUGUAAUGUUUUGCAUGUACCAUUCGAAUAAGGACCGGCUAAUUCCGUGCCAGCAGCCGCGGUAAUACGGAUGGUACAUGCGUUAUCUGGAUUUAUUGGGUUUAAAGGGAGUGUAGGCUGUUGGUUAAGCGUGUUGUGAAAUGUAGAUGCUCAACAUCUGACUUGCAUCACGACCUGUCUAACUUGAGUACACACAACGUAGGCGGAAUACAUGGUGUAGCGGUGAAAUGCUUAUAUAUCAUGAAGAACUCCGAUUGCGAAGGCAGCUAUCGGCAGUAUUACAGACGCUUAAGAUUGAAGGUAAGGGUAUCGAUCAGG